UACGUAGGGUGCAAGCAUUAAUCGGAUUUAUUGGGCGUAAAGGGCGCGUAGGCGGGAAUGCCAGUCAGAUGUGAAAUCCCGAGGCUCAACCUCGGAACAGCAUUUGAAACUACAUUUCUAGAGGGUAGACGGAGAAAACGGAAUUCCACAAGUAGCGGUGAAAUGCGUAGAUAUGUGGAAGAACACCAGUGGCGAAGGCGGUUUUCUAGUUUAUACCUGACGCUGAUGCGCGAAAGCAAGGGGAGCAAACAGG
rnacentral:rRNA from 1 species